UCUCUCCAAGGUUGAAGUCAUUUAUGUGCUUGGGGGAAACAUGGAGGCAAAAAGUCUACUUCCCCAGUCUGAUUUUUCAAUGUACGCAGAAGAGGAGCUCAUAAAUGGAGGUCUAAAGGCAAUUACAGAUGGUAUUUUUCAUUUGCCUUCAACUGAAGAUGUAGAAUGAUCCCUCAAUAAGUUUCCUCCACAGACAACGAAAAUGGCUAGGGAGAAGCGUCUUCCAAAUCCACCUCCUACUAAAUGAGAGACCGUGCCAGAAAAAUAGGAAGUCUAGCGGAAAUUUCGUUUGAACCCCAUCUGCUUCGUGAUAUCAUCUCAUCUUAAAUAUUUAACUGGUAUAAAGAAGUAUAAGAAGGAAAAUGUUGUCUGGGAUGAGCAAACUAGUGAAUGGAAAUGUCAAUAUGGUUAUGAUCACGUUAAUGAUGAUAAGGAUGUACCCAUUGUUGAGGCCAAGGCAACAUAUGGCAAUUUGUAUAUGGGCUGCACCCUUGGUGCCUUGUGAAUGACAUUCUUCUGAAAAAGCUAUGAACUGAAAAUCGUUUCACUAGUUUCUUUUAUUUUCAAAUUGUAUCGUGGGUCACACUUCAUUUUGUGCAGAACCAGAGGCAGAAACUUUUGUUAUGAGACCAGCAGAUAGGAAGAAAGAGGUGGAAAAGCAAUAGAAGAAUCAGUUGCAGAACUUGAAAGCAGCAGCAAAAUUGGUGUUUUGCCAAGCCUUGUGUCUACCCUUUUUGGUGCCUCCCUUCCUAUUAAUUGUUGAUAUGGCUUCAGCUGAAGAGUCUGACCGUUGUGCAAUGUGGACUGUGCUUCUAGAUGGUAUUGAAUGUCGGUGACAUGCUACUGUUAUAGGUUUAAACCCAGAGUUACUGCUAUAUUAAUUGAGGGUUUACUGAUGAGGUUUCAUAGUCUAUCUUUCUUCCUGGUCCUCGUCUUCCUUUGUGUUGUCACUAAUUCAUUGCCUAUCCAAGAAAAUUACGAUUGAUGAACUGUAGAAUAUAGCAGGUUUAGUUGCUGCAGCAACUCUAAAUGGUAGAAAAUUUGACAAGAAGUUGGCAGGGGUAAAAAGCCUUCUAAAAAGCAAGGAAAAGUACCCCAAGGUUUGUAUACCACAAGAAGAAAUAUGCAAAUGUUCUGAUGCAGUCAUUCCUAAUUCUUGAUCUUUUGGUCCUUUUCUUUCCAUUCAAUCCGACCAGUUACAAGGGCUCCAGGAUAAGCUCCAAAGAAAACAAGCAGACAGAUUAAGUUCUGAACAAGCUAAUUUCUAAAAACUCCCUUGAGUUGCUUAAUUUCACAAAGAGACACAUGCGCCUUGGUGUGGUGCUAUCUGAUGGUUGAUGAAACUCACCCAAAUUUCUUAGUUUUGAAUGAAAAUUGAUUCUGGUUUGCAGAGCCGACAAAAUGAGAAUACGAUUAGAUCAUAUCACUACAAACGUGCGGUACACAAUCUUUUAGGAUGAGUAUCGUCACCAUUCGUUUUCCAGGGUCAAUCCAUCACUACAGAAAUAUCGAUUUUAUCUGAAUCUUGUGGCAACAAUUGCAGGUCUUCGCUAAGAGAAUAUUUGUGGAUGAAGACAAGAAGGAAAUGGAUAGAAGUUGACCCAUUUAUCCAAAAUAAAGGAUGUAACAGCUAUAGUUUUGGGCUGCAGGCUGAAUGGAAACUAUGCAACAGAAGAUUUUAUAUCUUUGUCUUGUCUAA